GCAGGUGUAGUUCAAUGGCAGAAUGUCAGCUUCCCAAGCUGAACACGAGGGUUCGAUUCCCUUCACCUGCUCCA
rnacentral:tRNA from 17 species